rnacentral:rRNA from 1 species
GACGAACGCUGGCGGCGUGCCUAAUACAUGCAAGUAGAACGCUGAAGGAGGAGCUUGCUCUUCUGGAUGAGUUGCGAACGGGUGAGUAACGCGUAGGUAACCUGCCUGGCAGCGGGGGAUAACUAUUGGAAACGAUAGCUAAUACCGCAUAACAGUAGAUAUCGCAUGAUAGCUGCUUGAAAGGUGCAAUUGCACCACUACCAGAUGGACCUGCGUUGUAUUAGCUAGUUGGUGAGGUAACGGCUCGCCAAGGCGACGAUACAUAGCCGACCUGAGAGGGUGAUCGGCCACACUGGGACUGAGACACGGCCCAGACUCCUACGGGAGGCAGCAGUAGGGAAUCUUCGGCAAUGGACGGAAGUCUGACCGAGCAACGCCGCGUGAGUGAAGAAGGUUUUCGGAUCGUAAAGCUCUGUUGUAAGAGAAGAACGAGUGUGAGAGUGGAAAGUUCACACUGUGACGGUAUCUUACCAGAAAGGGACGGCUAACUACGUGCCAGCAGCCGCGGUAAUACGUAGGUCCCGAGCGUUGUCCGGAUUUAUUGGGGCGUAAAGCGAGCGCAGGCGGUUAGAUAAGUCUGAAGUUAAAGGCUGUGGCUUAACCAUAGUACGCUUUGGAAACUGUUUAACUUGAGUGCAAGAGGGGAGAGUGGAAUUCCAUGUGUAGCGGGUGAAAUGCGUAAAUAUAUGGAGGAAACACCGGUGGCGAAAGCGCUCUCUGGCUUGUACUGACCUGAUCUCGAAAGCGUGGGGAGCAAAUAUGG